UCAUAAUGAAACCUGAGAUCUUUUUUAGGGCGUUCUGCCAGCUAUCUUCAUUCUAACCAGUUUCAGCUGGUUUGAUUGCAAAAGCAACUUCUUGAAGCAGGUCCGAUUUUUCAAAGAAAAGUAGAAUUAAGUCCAGGUGCUCAGGCCUGUAGUCCCAGCACUUUGGGAGGUGGAGGCAGGCAAUCGCUUGAGCCCAGGAGUUCCAGACCACCCUCAACAAUACGGUGGAAUUCCACCUCUACGUAACAUUCAAAAAUCAGUUGGGCGUGGUGGCGCGGGCCUACAGUCCCAGCUACACAGGAAGCUGAGGUUGGAGACCAAGAUAUCAAGGACUGAGCCCAGAAGAUCAAGGCUCCAGUGAACUAAGAUUCCACCACUGCACCCCAGCCUGGCCAACAGAGUGAGAUCCUGACAAAACAAACAAAAAAAAACCCCACUGAUUUAAACAGUUCCUGGGCCAGAUAUCAGGGAGACAGUGUGACAAAGAGCACUCGAAGCAGGAGGAAAAGGAGCAGGACAAAGUUCCAGGUCCCCAGGUGUGGCUCUCAGGGUCUCAGACCCUGAGGGCAGAGUCUGGAGAUUGGGAAACCCAGCGUUGAGGAUUCCACACUCCCAGGAGUUUCACUUCUUGCUCUCCAAACUGGUGUCGGGUCCUUCUUCCUGGACUUCUUGGCCUUAGUUCUCAUUUCCGUUGGGUGUCAGGUUUCUAGAGAAGCCAAUCAGAGUCACUAAGAUUCCCGGCUAUAAAGUCCCCAUGCAUCCACCAGGACUCAGACCCUCCCGGGAUCCCAAGGAUGGGGGUCAUGGUGCCACGAACCCUCCUGCUGCUCUCCACGGCCUUGCUGCUGACCAAGACCUGGGUAGACUCCCACUCCUUGAGGUAUUUCUACACUGCCGUGUCCCAGCCCGGCCGCGGGGAGCCCCGCGUCAUCUCUGUGGGCUACGUGGACGACACGCAGGUCGCCCGAUUCGACAGUGACGCCGCGAGUCCGAGGAUGGAGCCGCGGGCGCCGUGGGUGGAGCAGGAGGGGCUGGAGUAUUGGGAGGAGGAGACACGGACAGCCCUGGACACCGCACAGAAUUUCCGAGUGAAACUGCGGACCCUGCUCCGCUACUACAACCAGAGCGAAGCCAUGUCUCACACCUACCAGGGAGUGUUUGGCUGCGACCUGGGGCUCCACGGGCGCCUCCUCCGCGGGUAUUACCAGUUCGCCUAUGACGGCAAGGAUUACAUCGCCCUGAAUGAGGACCUACGCUCCUGGUCCGCCGCGGACCUGGCGGCUCAGAUCACCCAGCGGAAGUGGGAGGCGCAGAAACACGCGGAGGAUGUCAGGGCCUACCUGGAGGGCACGUGUGUGGACCGCCUCCGCAGAUACCUGAAGAACGGGAAGGAGACACUGCAGCGUGCGGAUCCCCCAAAGACACAUGUCACCCACCACCCUGUCUCUGACCAUGAGGCCACCCUGAGAUGCUGGGCCCUGGGUUUCUACCCUGCAGAGAUCACACUGACCUGGCAGCGGGAUGGGGAGGAACAGACCCAGGACAUGGAGCUUGUGGAGACCAGGCCAGCAGGGGAUGGAAACUUCCAGAAGUGGGCAGCUGUGGUGGUGCCUUCUGGAGAGGAGCAGAGAUACACGUGCCAUGUGCAUCACGAGGGGCUGCCUGAGCCCCUCACCCUGAGAUGAGAGCCGUCUUCUCAGCCCACAAUCCCAUCUCCUUCUUCAUGUUCCUGUUCCAUCACGGGCAUCGUUGCUGGCCUGGUGGUCACUGGAGCUGUGGUCGCUGCUGUGAUGUGGAGGAGAAAGAACUCAGCACUUGUGACACUGAAGGACAGAUUUAUCACCUUGAUGACUGUGGCGAUAGGGACCUGAUUCCAGCAGUCACAGGUCAGGGGAUGGUCCCUGCUGAGGACAGAACUCAGAAGAGCAGUUGGUCCAGAACCCACAUCUCCUUUCUUCAUGUUCCUGAUCCUGCCCUGAGUCUACAGUCACGGUUCUGCAAAAUUCUCUGGGAUCCAAGGCCUGGGGGUUCCUCUAGGACCUCAUGGCCCUGCCUCUUCCCUGGCCUCUCAUAGGACAUUUUCUUCCUACAGAUAGAAAAGGAGGGAGCAAUUCUCAGGCUGCAGAUAAGUAUGAAGGAGGCUAAUCCCCGAAAUCCUUGGAAUAUUGUGGUCAGGAGCCCAUGGGGGAGUUCACCCAUCCCACAAUUCAUCUUCUAGCCACAUCUCCAGUGGGCUCUGACCAGGUCCUAUUUAUUUUUUCCUCCUUUUUUUAUUUUAUGGAAUUUCGGUGGUUUGUGUUUGGUUUUGUUUUAUUUUGAGACAGGAUCUGGUUCUGUUGCCUGGGCUGGAGUGCAGUGGCAAAAUUUUGGGUCAAGUGCUCCUCCCACCACAGCCUCCCAAGAAGCUGAGAUUUCAGGCACAUGCUACCAUAUCUGGCUAACUUUUGUAUUUUGUUGUGGAGAUGGGGUUUUACCAUGUUGCCCAAGCUGGUCUGGAAUUCCUGAGCUCAAGCAAAUCUGCCUGCCCCACAAAGUGCUGGGAUGAGAUACAUGAGCCACCAAGCUUGGUCAGGUCCUUUUUUUGUUCUACCCAGGCAGUAACUGUGCCCAGGGCUCUGGUGUUCACUCAAGGUUUGUAAAGAUAAAACCCUGGAGGGCCUGAAAUGGGUUGGGAGUGGGGCAGAGGAAAUAGGAAUGGGGAUUUGUUGAUUUGGAAUUUUUUAUUGUGUGAUGGGCUGUUUAGAGUGUCACCACUUACCAUGAGUGGCCUGAAUUUGUUCAUGACUAUUUUUCUGUCACCUGAGACAACUGCCUUGUGAGGAACAGAGAUGUAGGAUUUCUUCAUGCCUCCCCUUUGUGACUUCAAGAGACUACUCUGACUUCUCUUUCUGCGAAGGCAUCUGAAUAUAUCUGGGUCCCUUGUCCACCAUGAGCCCCUUCCUCACACUGAUCUGUGUUCAUUCCCUCUUCUAGAAGUGUGUGGCUGACAUGUCCCCAUCCCUGUCUCAACAUUAUGGUACACUGAGCCACAGCCUCUUACUUUUCUGUUAAAAAUAGGAACCUGGGUCUCAAUUUAUUUUUUCAUACUUGUGUGAUGAAAUGGAGUUGAGGAAGCUACAGUUAUAGCUGGAAAUACAGACAGAUAAUUCCACAGCACAUCUCUAGCAAAUUUAGCUUAUUUCAUUUUCUAGCCUAUUCUUUACCACCUGUAGUCUUGACCAUAUCCCUUGGAGUUGUUUUUAUACUGCUUUUGUUUGAGUGUUCCCUCCAAUACUCAUGUUGAGACUUAAUCCCUAAUGUGGCAAUACUAAAAGGUGGAGCUUUUAAGACAUGAUUGGAUCAUAAGGCUCUGUAUUCAUUUGCAGAUUAAUGGACUAAUGGGUUAUCACAGGAAUGGGACAGGAGGCUUUAUAAGGAGAAGAGAGAACUGAGCUAGCAUACCAAGCCCCCUUGCCAUGCAGUGCCCUGCACCUCCUCAGGACUCUGCAGAGUCCCCAUCAGCAAGAAGCUUCUCACCAGAUACAGCCCCUUAACCUUGGACUUCCCAUUCUUCAGAACUAUGAGAAAUAAAUUUCAUUUCUUUAUAAAUUACCGAGUUUCAUAUAUUCUGUUAAAAGCAACAGAAAAUGGACCAAGGCAGGAAAUUGGUCCUAAGAAGUAGGGUGUUGCUGAUAACAAAUACAUGAAGACAUGGAUUCAGCUUUGAAACUGAGUAAUGGGUAGAAGCUGGAAGAAUUUGGAGGAGCAGGAAGCCUAGAUUCUGGUGAGGGAUUAGAAGACAAGAAGUCUAGAGAAAGCUUCAAACUCCUUAGAGACUUAUUACAUGGUCAUGACCAGAAUGUUGAUAGAAAUGUAGACAAUAAAGACCAUUCGGAUGAGGUUUCAGAUGGGACUGAGGAACAAAGUAUUGGAAAUGGAACUAAAGGCCAUCCAUGUUAUAAAUUCACAAAGAACUUGGCUGAACUCUGUCCAUACCCAAGCGCUUUGUGGAAGGCCAAAUGUUAGAGUGAUGAACUAACAUAUCUGAGAGAAGAAAUUUCUAGGCAAAAUAUAAAAGCAGCUGCUUGGUUACUUUUGGCCAUUUACAACUGAGAUUCAGAAGCAAAGAAAUAAAGACAGAAUGUAUAAUUAAAAAGGAAGCAGAGCAGAAAGAUUUGGAAAACCAAACCUGGCCAUGUGAAAAGUGAAAAGGCAUGUUCAGGCCGGGCAUGGUGGCUCAAGACUGUAAUCCCAGCACUUUGGGAGGCCGAGACGGGUGGAUCACAAAGUCAAGAGAUCAAGACCAUCCUGGUCAACAUGGUGAAACCUCGUCUCUACUAAAAAUAUUUUAAAAAUUAGCUGGGAAUGGUGGAGCGUGCCUGUAAUCCCAGCUACUCAGGAAGCAGAGGUUGUGGUGAGCCAAGAUCGUGCCAUUGCACUCCAGCCUGGGUAAUAAGAGCGAAACUCCCUCUCAAAAAAAAGAAAAGAAAAGGUAUGUUCAGAGGAGGAAACCAAGAAUGUAGCUCAGUGGCCAUUUGUUAAAGAGGAAGGGGUAGAAGACAACCAGAUGCUAUUUCUCAAGAGAAUGGAAGACCUCAAAGGCAUUUCAGAAAUCUUUGAGGCUGCGCCUCCUAUCACAGGUUCAGAAGCCUAGGAGGAGAGAAUGGUUUUGGGCACAGGCUCUCUCCAGGAGCUCACUGCCCAGGACCACCUUGGGACCCUGCUCCCUACACCCCAGCACAGUACUCAGUUGUCACCCCAGCAGUGGCCUUAGGCGUGGCUUAUGCCAUGGCUCCAUAAGGUACGAAUCAUAGACCUUGGUAGUCUGCAUGGGAUGCUACUCUGCAGCCUUGCAGAAAGUAAGCAGUGGAAGCUUCCUCCACUCAGAUUUCAAAGAUGUCUUUGAAGUCCUGGAAGACUAGGCAGAGACUUGUUGCAGAAGUGAAGGCACAACAGAGAGCCUCCAUUAGAGUGAUGCCAAGUAGAAAUGUGAGGUGGAGCUGCCACAGAGAGCUCCUACCAGGGAAAUGUCUAGUGGAGUCCUGGAAGCCAGGCCACCAGAGAGAGUGACUUGUAGAGUGGUGAGAGCAGGACCUGAUCUCCACCACGACCCAACCACCAGCAGGACCCCAGAACUGGAGCCAUUAGCAGCGUGCAAUGCCCACUUCAGAAAGCUUCAGGCAUCAGCCUCCAACCCAUACUAGCAGUCACAUGUGCUGCACCAAGCUAAGACACAGGCCCAGGGCUACCUGAGGCCUUGGGACCCAACACCUGCUCCAGUGUGUCUGGAAGGAAACACAUGGAGUUGAAAAAGAUUUUAAUACACUUCCCAUGCACACUGUUUCUGUUAAAGACCCUUUAACAGAAUCUUCUUCAUUCUCCUCACACUCCCAAGAUGAGCUGAGGCAAACUUUGAGGUAUAAUUAAAGCUGUAUUUGAACAUCACUUGUAUUUCAUUUGUGCCUUUUGCACCUCAUUCUUUUUGGUUUUUAACCACUUUCAAGACAUCCUUGGGCUUCCAUUGCCAUGGACCACUCAGAACCGCAUUCCCUGAUCUGUGUUCUAGUUCUGGUUAUGUCAACUUUUCCCUUCUCCCUGGUUAAUCCCCCUAAUUACCUGAGUCCAUUCUGCCAGGUGAUAUCCAGUGAAAAGGUAAUGCACAUGGUGGCAAAGCCCAGGGA